GAUCAUGGCUCAGAUUGAACGCUGGCGGCAUGCCUUACACAUGCAAGUCGAACGGCAGCACGGGUGCUUGCACCUGGUGGCGAGUGGCGAACGGGUGAGUAAUACAUCGGAACAUGUCCUGUAGUGGGGGAUAGCCCGGCGAAAGCCGGAUUAAUACCGCAUACGAUCCACGGAUGAAAGCGGGGGACCUUCGGGCCUCGCGCUAUAGGGUUGGCCGAUGGCUGAUUAG
rnacentral:rRNA from 1 species